AUGGACAGAAAGACAAAGAUGUUAAUUUAUGCGGCUGAGGCACAAUGGUUUAUCAACAUGAUAACAUUGGUUGUUCAAUCCAGAAAAAGAAAAAGGAGAGAAGCAAUUACGUAUGCCCCAAUUGAUGAGAGAGAUAGGAUGAGAAGAGAGUAUUUUGAUAACAAAAUAUGGAAGAAUGACACAACCAUUGUGAACAUGCUUAGGCUUCAGAGAGAACCUUUCUUUACGUUUUCUCAACUCUUUAGGGAUCGCAACUUGCUAAAGGACACAAUACAUUUGACUAUUGAGCAACAAGUAGCAAUGUUCUUGCACACCGUCGGGCACAACAUUAGAAAUAGGGUAAUUGGUGUCAAUUUUGGUGAUCCGGUGAAGUUGUGA
rnacentral:rRNA from 1 species